rnacentral:rRNA from 1 species
GACAGAGGGUGCGAGCGUUGUCCGGAAUCACUGGGCGUAAAGGGCGCGUAGGCGGCUUCUCAAGCGUGUGGUGAAAGUCCGGGGCUCAACCCCGGAUCGGCCGUGCGGACUGGGGAGCUCGAGUUCUGUAGAGGCGGGUGGAAUUCCGGGUGUAGCGGUGGAAUGCGUAGAGAUCCGGAAGAACACCGGUGGCGAAGGCGGCCCGCUGGGCAGAGACUGACGCUGAGGCGCGACAGCGUGGGGAGCAAACAGG